AAGAGCUCAAAGUUGGAACCUGUUUGGCUUAGCUAAACCGGAUUGUAAACUGUAGAAGUGUUUUCCAGACACGCCUGGUAAAAAAGUCCUUUGGAACAGGGCAUCAUAGAGGGUGAGAAUCCCGUCAUUGGCCAGAGCUGUUGUCUUUUGUGAUACAUUUUCAAAGAGUCAGGUUGUUUGGGAAUGCAGCCUAAAUUGGGUGGUAAAUCUCACCUAAAGCUAAAUAUUUGCGAGAGACCGAUAGCGAACAAGUACCGUGAGGGAAAGAUGAAAAGAACUUUGAAAAGAGAGUUAAACAGUAUGUGAAAUUGUUAAAAGGGAACCGUUUGGAGCCAG
rnacentral:rRNA from 1 species